CUCUCUGUAGCUCAGUUGGUUAGAGCUCGACAGCUGUCUCUCUGUAGCUCAGUUGGUUAGAGCGUGGGGCUGUAGGUUUGAUUCCUGCCAGAGGGC